UUCGCCCUUAGAGUUUGAUCCUGGCUCAGGACGAACGCUGGCGGCGCGCCUAACACAUGCAAGUCGAACGAGCGAGAGGAGGUUUACUUUCUCAAGCGAGUGGCGAACGGGUGAGUAACGCGUGAGGAACCUGCCUCAAAGAGGGGGGCAACAGUUGGAAACGACUGCUAAUACCGCAUAAGCCCACGACCCGGCAUCGGGUAGAGGGAAAAGGAGCAAUCCGCUUUGAGAUGGCCUCGCGUCCGAUUAGCUAGUUGGUGAGGUAAUGGCCCACCAAGGCGACGAUCGGUAGCCGGACUGAGAGGUUGAACGGCCACAUUGGGACUGAGACACGGCCCAGACUCCUACGGGAGGCAGCAGUGGGGAAUAUUGCACAAUGGGGGAAACCCUGAUGCAGCGACGCCGCGUGGAGGAAGAAGGUCUUCGGAUUGUAAACUCCUGUUGUUGAGGAAGAUAAUGACGGUACUCAACAAGGAAGUGACGGCUAACUACGUGCCAGCAGCCGCGGUAAAACGUAGGUCACAAGCGUUGUCCGGAAUUACUGGGUGUAAAGGGAGCGCAGGCGGGAAGGCAAGUUGGAAGUGAAAUCCAUGGGCUCAACCCAUGAACUGCUUUCAAAACUGUUUUUCUUGAGUAGUGCAGAGGUAGGCGGAAUUCCCGGUGUAGCGGUGGAAUGCGUAGAUAUCGGGAGGAACACCAGUGGCGAAGGCGGCCUACUGGGCACCAACUGACGCUGAGGCUCGAAAGUGUGGGUAGCAAACAGGAUUAGAUACCCUGGUAGUCCACACUGUAAACGAUGAUUACUAGGUGUUGGAGGAUUGACCCCUUCAGUGCCGCAGUUAACACAAUAAGUAAUCCACCUGGGGAGUACGACCGCAAGGUUGAAACUCAAAGGAAAUUGACGGGGACCCGCACAAGCAGUGGAGUAUGUGGUUUAAAUUCGACGCAACGUGAAAGAACCUUACCAAGUCUUGACAUCCUGCGACGGUGCUGGAAACAGUACUUUCCUUCGGGACGCAGAGACAGGUGGUGCAUGGUUGUCGUCAGCUCGUGUCGUGAGAUGUUGGGUUAAGUCCCGCAACGAGCGCAACCCUUAUGGUCAGUUACUACGCAAGAGGACUCUGGCCAGACUGCCGUUGACAAAACGGAGGAAGGUGGGGAUGACGUCAAAUCAUCAUGCCCUUUAUGACUUGGGCUACACACGUGCUACAAUGGCCGGUACAGAGGGUUGCCACCCCGCGAGGGGGAGCGGAUCCCGGAAAGCCGGUCCCAGUUCGGAUCGCAGGCUGCAACCCGCCUGCGUGAAGUCGGAGUUGCUAGUAAUCGCGGAUCAGCAUGCUGCGGUGAAUACGUUCCCGGGCCUUGUACACACCGCCCGUCA
rnacentral:rRNA from 1 species